AUGGCGACCGCCGUCGAGCCCGACGACGCCGUGCUCUUCGCCGGCGUGUCCCUCGUGCUGGGCGCCGCCUGCCGCCACCUCUUCCGCGGCACGCGCGUUCCCUACACCAUCGCNNNNNNNNNNNNNNNNNNNNNNNNNNNNNNNNNAGAGUACGGGACAAAAGACGGUCUAGGCAAACUUGGAGCUGGCAUGCGUAUCUGGGCUGACAUAAAUCCUGAUCUUCUCCUGGCUGCUUUCCUUCCGGCCCUUUUGUUUGAGAGCGCCUUCUCGAUGGAAGCACACCAGAUAAAGAAAUGCAUGGCGCAGAUGCUCUUACUUGCUGGCCCUGGUGUGCUAAUGUCAACAUUUUUGCUUGGCACUGCUCUCAAGCUUACUUCUCCAUAUGAUUGGAACUGGGAAACAUCAUUGUUGCUUGGUGGUCUGCUUAGUGCCACUGAUCCUGUGGCCGUGGUUGCAGUUCUAAAAGAGCUUGGAACAAGUAAAAAGCUCAGUACAAUUAUUGAGGGAGAAUCCUUGAUGAACGAUGGGGUUUCUGUUGUUGUCUAUCAGUUAUUCUUACAAAUGGUGCUUGGAAGAAGCUUCAAUACAGGGUCUAUAUUGAUGUUCUUAUCGGAAGUUUCACUUGGAGCUGUUGCUCUGGGCCUUGCAUUUGCAAUCAUAUCAUUACUAUGGCUUGGCUUUACUUUCAACGAUACAAUCUUGGAGAUGACGCUAACUCUUGCUGUCAGCUAUAUUGCUUUCUAUAAUGUGCAAGAUGCACUGAAGUACUCUGGUAUUUUGACCGUCACAGCUUUGGGAAUGUUCUAUGCAGCUUUUGCAAAAACUACUUUUAAGGGCGACAAUCGCCGAAGUUUGCAUGAUUUCUGGGAAAUAGUUGCUUACAUUGCGAACACAAUUAUUUUCAUACUGAGUGGGGUUAUUAUUGCAGAUGGUGUGCUAAGACAUAAUGUCCAUUUUGAGAGGCACGGCACUUCAUGGGGGUUUCUUCUUCUGCUCUAUUUCUAUGUACAAAUGGCACGGGCUGCAGUUGUCGGUGCUCUAUAUCUUUUGUUGCGCUACUUUGGGUAUGGUUUGGACUUCAAAGAAGCCAUAAUCAUUGUUUGGUCUGGGCUGCGAGGUGCUGUUUCCCUAUCAUUAGCACUGUCUGUUAAACAUGCUAGUGAUACAGCUCAACCUUUUCUGAAACCAGAAGUCGGAACAAUGGUUUGUGUUCUUCACUGUGGCAUCGUGUUUCUGACACUGAUAUUGAAUGGUUCUACCACACAAUUUUUGUUGCACGCACUUGGUAUGGACAAGCUGUCAGUAACAAAGCUUCGCAUGUUGAAUUAUGCUAGACAUGAAAUUCUAAACAAGACAUUAGAAGCUUUUGGUGAUCUCAAAGAUGAUGAGGAGCUUGGUCCUGCUGACUGGGUUACAGUUAAGAAAUACAUCACAGGCUUGAGUAACUUGGAAGAUGAACAUGCACAUCCACAUGAUGACAAUCAUGAUCACAUACAUACCAUGAAUUUAAGGGAUGGCCGAGUGCGUCUUUUGAAUGGUGUGCAAGCCAGUUACUGGGCAAUGCUUGACGAGGGACGGAUAACUCAAGCUACAGCCAGUAUUUUGAUGCAAUCAGUUGAUGAAGCUAUGGAUCUUGUUUCUAGCCGACCAUUAUGCGAUUGGAACAGUUUGCAGUCCAAUGUCCAUUUCCCAAGUUACUAUAGGUUCCUUUCUGCAAGCAUGUUACCACAAAGUUUUAUCACAUACUUCACAGUACAAAGAUUGGAGUCAGGAUGUUACAUCUGUGCUGCAUUUCUUCGUGCUCAUAGAAUUGCAAGGAGACAACUACAAGAUUUUCUUGGUGAUAGUGAGAUUGCAAAAAUUGUUAUUGAUGAAAGUAAUGCUGGGGGAGAGGAAGCUAGGAAGUUCUUGGAAGAAGUUCGCUGUACAUUCCCUCAGCUUCUUUGUGUGCUAAAGAGUCGACAAGUAACAUAUGCUGUAUUGACACACUUGAGUGAGAAUGUUCAAAACCUAUGGAAGACUGGGUUACUGGAAGAAAAAGAAAUGGCACAUCUGGAUGAUGCUUGGCAGACAGAUCUGAAGAAGCUUAAGAGGAAUCCACAAUUAGUGAAAAUGCCAAGAGUUAGCGAUCUUUUAGGCGCCCAUCCAUUAGUCAGCAUGCUGCCUGCUGCUGUGCGUGCUCCUUUGUUAAGCAAUACAAAAGAAAAAGUAAAAGGGCAUGGGGCAGCCCUUUAUAUGGAAGGCUUAAGAGCAACUGGUAUAUGGAUUGUUUCGAUUGGAGCAGUAAAGGUAUGUUUCUGCUUAAGACUGCUCUAA
rnacentral:rRNA from 1 species